GUGCUCGCUUCAGCAGCACAUGUACUAACAUUGGAACAAUGCAGAGAAGAUUAGCAUGGCCUCCUGCACAAAGAUGCCAUGCCAAUUUGUGAAGCGUUCCAUAUUUUU
ensembl:snRNA U6 U6 spliceosomal RNA